AAGCAAUGCCACAGGAGGAAUGAGACAACUGUCACAUCUACGAGGGGUGCCAAGCAACCCCAGCCUGGUCCAACAGGAGCUCCCUCCCCACUUCCACAGAAGAAAGCAACGCAGCCCGGCACACACAGAUGGAUUGUGUCAGUAAUAUUUACCAUUAGGCAAGCUGUGAUUUUCUAAACAAAAGCCUAUAUUACAUUAAUUUUUUUAAAGCAAAAGCACAGGAAUACUGCAAGAUCACAUGACAUUGUGACUGUUCAGAAUCAAAUUGGUAUACUCAGCCUUCUGCAAACUCAUUUUAAUGCAUUCUCCCCAAAAUCCACUCAAAACCUGUUUAUUUAAAUAAUGUGUUGUGUUUUUUUUUUUUUUUUACAUUAUAGAGCAUCUAAAAUCCAACACCUUGAAAGUAUAUACCUAAACCUUCAAAAUCAAAUCAAAACUAUUGAAGGCUUUAUUUUUCAGAGGGUUUUGGUAAACCAAGUGCUAAGAUCUGAUAUCUUUCAAAACUCAUGUUGAAGUUGACAUGUCAUUGUGACCUGGUAAGAGGUGGGACCUUCAAGAGGUGAUUAGGUCAUGGGGCAUUGCCCUCCUCAGUUAAGCUGUGGGACAGUUAUCACAGGAGUGAUUAGUUGUCACAGAAGAGGAUUAGCUACCACAGGAGUGGGUUAGUUAUCAGAGGAGUGUGCUCAUUAUCAUGGAGUGGGUUAGUUAUCAGAGGAGUGAGUUAAUUAUCACUGGGGUGGGUUAGUUAUCACAGGAGAGGAUUAACUAUCAGGGGAGAGGGUCAGUCAGAAAAGGAAGUACUGGGCCUGUGCUGGGCAUGGUCUCUCCACCUUGGACUUCUCAGCCUCCAGAACCAUGAGCCAAAUAAACUACUAUUGUUGGCCCUUAUUCAGUAGGUGCUGUUCUGUUAUAGCAUCAGAAGAUGGACUAAGACUCAAGUUAAAUGCAUUUGGAGUGCAGUUAAGCCCACUCAACUCAACCCUCUGGUUCAACUUGGUACCUUCACUUGUCUUACUGUUUGAUUAGCGUCCAAAUGACCAUUUGAAUUUCGACAUGUUUUCUUCUAUUGAUUAUGUAUUUUAAGAUGACAAAAAAUGAAAUGAAUGAAAUCUCUGAUUUAGAGGCCAAUGCAUCUCAAUUGCUAUGGCAAUCAAUACCAGUAACAGAGAAAUUUACAAACCAUCAAACAAUUAAAAAGUAAAUAUAUGGCUUUGCCUUGAAGUGUCCAGGAGUGCCCUGAAGGAACACGCUUUAAGUCCUGAUGUAGGGGGCGCUGACCAGUUACUCCAUUUCCUAAUGACUUGGGCUUUGUCCCAGCUCAGAUACCAGGCGUGGCUCCAGGUGUAGGCGUCACCGUGGGGGCUGAGUUACACUCACCUGUUCUUUUGUAAUCCUACCCUUUUGCCCUUUUUGGGAUAGGAUGUUCCAUGGAACCUCCCCUUGUAUGUCUCCUAAAUUAGAAUAAAGAAUUCCAGUGGCUCCUUCUCUUUCCACAGACUGUUAAGGUCACAGAGCCGUCACCAGAUUAUUGAAAAGGUACUUCUGUGUGGUCGCAUGCUUUCUUUGUCAUUUUCUUAAGUUAUGAGAAGAGUCAGAUUUUGUGAACCAGCAUUGGGUCGCCAGCUGGGAUAGAUGGAGAAAAUGAAGUCUGUUUUUCAUAAAUGGAGUGCACCCAAGGGAAGUAGGAGGAGCAAGAGAGGGUCCACACACAGACAAGGCAUUGCUGCCCACCAUCCACUGGUAGAGGGAGCCUCUAGCUCUAGACAGUCUCAGAGGAGAG
rnacentral:lncRNA from 1 species